rnacentral:rRNA from 1 species
CCCUUAGAUGCUCUGGGCCGCACGCGCGCUACACUGGUCGAUGCAACGAGUUUCUUUCCUUGGCCGACAGGCCUGGGCAAUCUUUGAACAUCGAUCGUGAUCGGGAUAGAUUCUUGUAAUUUUUGAUCUUAAACGAGGAAUUCCCAGUAAACGCAAGUCAUCAGCUUGCAUUGAUUACGUCCCUGCCCUUUGUACACACCGCCCGUCGCACCUACCGAUUGAAUGGUCCGGUGAAAUCUCCGGACUGGCGUGAGUCGGAGCAAUCUGACAAACGCCGGAAAGUUGAUUAAACCUUACCAUUUAGAGGAAGGUGAAGUCGUAACA